ensembl:lncRNA
CGUUCUCCUAAUGUGCAUGUCUUUUUCUCAUCCUGAUGCUAGAUGACCUGUAAUUUAAAAUGGUAUUUAAAAUGCAUCUGCCAGCAGAAAGAUGAACACUGUGGCUUAGCAGAAGCCAUAACUGCGAGAAAAUAACACCAUCAUCUCAGAAUUAUUGUAAUUAUCAAAUAAUUCUGAAAAUCCUCCGUCCCAGAUAACAGGCCGCAUGAAUGUUACAUGUAAAAAAUAAAAAACAAAAGUUAAGAGUAUUGUAGGAACAUUUUAAAGUUGGAACAUUUUGACAGUUGCCGUUAAAUUCACAUGUGUCCUGGUGCGCUAACUAUAGAAGCAAGCGAGUGAUUACAGAGCCCAUGAACUUCAAAAGCUCUCUGUAUGGAAGACCGCUAACAUGGCUGCCAUCGUAUAAAGUGCAGAUGCUGGAGCUCUUGCUCAAGUUUCCAAAACUUAACUAUAAAACACUGUGUUUGGGUUAAUAUGUGGAUGGUAUGAUCUGGUAUGAUCCCAACAGCAGUGGUAGCAAUGAAGGUUCUGUAUUAGUGACCAGAAGAAACACCAGCAAACAAAACCAUAUUAAAUGAACAUUAACCACCAGCAAACAAAACUAAACUAAAUAAACGAACACAUUAAUUAAUUUACUUUUUCAUUCUUUUUCAGCAUCCUGUUCAGCGUUGUGGUGGAACCGGAGCCAGACCCAGGAACAUUGGGUGCAAGCCAAGAGAAUUCACACAUUCAUUCACACCUAGGGGCGGUUUAGAAUAGUCAAUUCCUGGACGAUUUAGUAGAGUGGGUGGAAACUGAAGAACAGAGCUCAGGAUCAAACCUGGGACCCUGAAGCUAUGAGGUGGCAACGCUACCUGCUGUAUCACUCUACCACUGUGUCAGCCAUUACACAAACAGCAGCCAACGCCCCCCCCCCCCCCCUCCCCCCCAUAAAUAAAUAAGUGCCAUCAACAAAAAACUACAUUAAAUAAAUAUUACACAGAAAACAAUGCCACACUAAAUAAACAUUAAGUCAGCAAACAAAACUACAUUCACAUUAAAAUACCACCAACAAACAUAACUAAAUCAAUAUUGGUUAGCAGCAAACAAAACCAAACAAAAUAAACAAUAACAAUGACACAAACAAAACCAAACUGAAUAUACAUAAACCCUGAGGCAAACAAAAAUAAUAAACACAAAAAAGCAAAGAAAAUGAAAGCAAAUAACAUUACUGUACACAAACAGCAGCCAAAAAACGAACAAAAUAAACACCAACCAUCAGCAAAUAAAUGCAAACUAAACGAAUAUUAAAGGCAGCAAAUAAUAAUAAAACCAACCUAAAUAAACACCAACCACAAUUUACACCAAACUCAAUCAAAAAAAAAAAUACAAUCAGCAAAUAAAACAAAGCUAAACAAACACCUAAAAUUCAAACAACAGCAAACAAAACCAAAGUAAAUAAGCACCAAACAUCCACAAACAUAUCUAAAUAAAUGUUAAAAAACCAUCAGCAAACAAAAAGAAACUAAAUAAAUAUUAAACAGCAGCAAACAAAAUCGACCUAAAUAAACACCAACCAUCAGCAAACAAGCCUAAACUAAAUAAACACCAACCAUCAGUAAACAAGCCUAAAUUAAUAAACACCAACCAUCAGCAAACAAGCCUAAACUAAAUAAACACCAACCAUCAGUAAACAAGCCUAAAUUAAUAAACACCAACCAUCAGCAAACAAGCCUAAACUAAAUAAACACCAACCAUCAGUAAACAAGCCUAAACUAAAUAAACACCAACCAUCAGUAAACAAGCCUAAACUAAAUAAACACCAACCAUCAGCAAACAAGCCUAAAUUAAUAAACACCAACCAUCAGCCAACAAGCCUAAACUAAAUAAACACCAACCAUCAGCCAACAAGCCUAAACUAAAUAAACACCAACCAUCAGUAAACAAGCCUAAACUAAAUAA